rnacentral:rRNA from 1 species
UACGUAGGGUGCAAGCGUUAAUCGGAAUUACUGGGCGUAAAGAGCUCGUAGGCGGUUUGUUGCGUCGGCUGUGAAAUCCCGAGGCUCAACCUCGGGUCUGCAGUCGAUACGAGCAAACUAGAGUGUUGCAGGGGAGACUGGAAUUCCUGGUGUAGCGGUGAAAUGCGCAGAUAUCAGGAGGAACACCGGUGGCGAAGGCGGGUCUCUGGGCAACAACUGACGCUGAGGAGCGAAAGCAUGGGGAGCGAACAGG